GCGGCUGACUGAGCAGCGCGGGCCUGAAACAAAGGAGUAAAAAUAGCACCGGCAGGGCGGGGGCACUGGAGCACGCCGCGGCCGUUCGGCUACGAGCCACGCCGGAGUACGGUGGCCGGCGAGGGCUGUUAGUCUUCUCGCGGGGGGAGGGGGCGAAUGACUCACAGGGGUAACCGCCCUCCCCCUUAACUCACCAUCCGCCACGAACGCCCGUGCACAUGCGCAGUAGACCGAGAUAUUUAUAGCCGUCUCUUGCGGGAUGAUGUAACGCGGGGAGCCGCUGAGCGGGGCUGUGCGUGCUGCGUCACCGGCUCGCUGCCUCGAGCUGUUUACAGCAGGACUGUCGGUUACCUAGCAACGCAGACUGACACGCUGAGGAGUAGGGCGGGAAGAAGAGCGUCGCCCGGGGCCCUCCCCACCGCAGGAGCAUCGACACGGGCCCCAGCCCGAGGGGACUUCUUAAUCAGUGCAGGCUGAAUAGAGACUGAGACAGCCCUAGGUUUCUGUUGGAUGGAGCUGAAGGUCGCAGCAUACCCUAGAUGGAAGAACACAAAGGAAAGUAUGUUGCAUAGUGAAAUGGAACUGUGACUCAGCUUUUUCCAAAAGUAUCAUUCAGUUGUUUGUUUGUGCUACUUCCUCUUGGCUAGCAAGAAAUGC